UCUUGGGAGAAGCACGAGUGACGUCAAUAACGAGCGAGCCAGAGAGCUGCAUUACCUAGAGGAAAGACAGAGACGCAGCAGAAAUCUUCGGACUACUUUGUCAUUUUAAAAUAAUUUUAAAAGUUUUUAGGACAAAUAUACGAUUUCAACACAAGUGUUUUGGAGGAUCUGCCGCUGUUCAUCCAUAAAAUUUUAAGUUUGCACGGACAGUCUGGCUAUUCCUCAUGCUGAGUCUGGAUCAGAACCUAAUCAACACAAACAUCUCAUUCAUGUCUGCAUUGUACCUCAUGUUCGGGAGAUACUACUGUUAAUAUCCAUUAUCCAUCUGAGCUGGCUUCAACUCUGGAGUUUCUUCAAAGGUGUUUUGUCUCAAUAAACCUAAAAAAGGGAAGCAAAGUACAGAGUAAAAACUCCAAGCGUCCUCUCAACUUGAACCCUCGAGUCCUUACCCUGAUACAGGAACUCUCCGAUCAUGAGUGGCGUUAAGCCUAAAUAUGGACUCUUUCUGUUGACUCUGACUGUUUGUUUGAGAAGAGGUACCGUUUUCACUUUGUUAAAUCCACAAAUUGUGUUAUGGUUAAGGCACUAUUUAAUUUGUUUUAAACUCUUAAAGGUGCACUGUAACUCUUUCUGGUAGAGGGUCUGUAUGUAUCUUGCAUUUAUUCAAUUAGAACUGUUUUUAAUGCAAAAACCUUAACAAACCUGCGAUCUUACUGUAAGAGGGCUUGCCUCUCCACAGAUCUGACCCGUUGAAAAUAACUUUUCAAACUCAGUUUAAAAAUAAAAAAAAUGCAUCCAGUUGUUUACAACUAUUUUGAUGGCUAUCAAAUAAAUUUUGCAAAAGUGA